ensembl:lncRNA
ACUUCUCAGCAGGCUGCCAAUUGCUUCUGCUAAAAGUGCAUGAAUAAAAAUAAUCAGAAAUCACACUGACCUUUCAUUUGGUCAUUCUUUCUAAUGAUUUUAUAUGCUUAUAAAAUGUCAAAAUCAUUUGUUUGGAUCACAGAACAGCAAAUGGCAAGGAGUAGAAAACAGAAAACACUUUUGUAACUGUGGUCGUUUCACCAUGAGUCGCAGUUAAACUCCAUCAGAAUCAUUCUGUCACCUCUUCUCAAAGAAACAAGGAGAAAAUGCAAGGAAAAAAAAAAGUCUUCACAGUUAGAGAUAAGGACAGGGGAUCACUUACCAAUUGAACAGAAAAGGGAAAAACAGAACCACUACUUCAUAGUCAUUAUCUGCUCCUGCUCCACUGUGGGUUCCCUCCCUUGGGAUGCCACCCUUUCCACACUCCCCACAGGCUGCAGAUCCAGCCCAGAGUGCUCCUGCAGGGGUAUCCAUUCCUCCUUCAGGCCUCAUCCCUUCCACACCAUGGGCUCUUACAUGGCUGCACGGGCAGAUCUGCUCUGUGCAGUGCCCUUGGGCUUCAGGGGAUGGUCUCCUCCUCCAUGGCCCUCUCCUGAGAUGCAGGGAGCUGCUGCUUUGUGCCUGAAGUUCCUCCUGCCCUCCUUCUGCACUGACCUUGGUGUCCACAGGGCUACUCUCUCAUAUCCCUCAACCCUCUCUUCUAGCUGUUGUUCUGUGGCAUUACUUCACUUCCUUAUAUAUGCUCUACUAGAGUACACCCAGUGUUGCUCACAGCUCAGUUCUGGCAGCAGUGGGCCCGUGUUGGAGCAGCUGGAGCUCUGAUCUGACAUGGGUCAGAGCUGGGCUUUGCUCACAGAGGCUGCCCUGCAGCAUCCCCUGUAUCAAAGCCUUGUCACCUAAGCCCAGUACAGUAAUUUAGUUGUUCUUUCAUUUUGAUGUGAACUGAACUCAUUGUUCACAGUAACACAAAUUCACAUCAGUAAUGCUCAUCAUUAAAAAAUUAUAACUGAGUGUUCUGAAAGAAAAAUUAGGUGAAAGUCUCCUAGUGGCGCAUGUGAAACGUGCCAUGAACUCCAAAAAUGCAGCAGGGAGUUCCAAAGAUGUAAUAGUAUUUGGAGAGUUUAUGUAAUUAUUUCCUCAAUAUAGUAAUAGCUGACACUACUGGCUAUGGUAAGAUAUGUUUCAAAUGUAAGAGCAGUCUUCAGAUAAUCAAAAAGCUGAAAAUACAAGGCCUUUCUACUGCCUGAUUUUAUCAGCAUGAUAACUUUUUCCACUGUGAUUUCAUUCUUGACUUGUCUGCGUUCGGUACUACCUACUACACAGACAGAGCAGUCUUCCCUCCUAGAAUAAGUCUUAAAAAAAUCAUUCAGUAAGUCACUGAUUUACAGAAUUAUUAUAUGUUUUCUCUGCUUUAACUGUUGCCAUUUGGGAUUUUGCUAGAAAAUUUUGCUUUGAAUUGGACACUCUGAAUAGAUGUGCCCCCUUCAGCCAUGUGGAAAAAGAUAAAUAGAAAUCUACAUAAAUAAAUGAGUACUGAAAUAAAUAGCAAUAGAUCUAAUUGUUUCCAUGAUAUGAAAAAAUAUUUUUAAAAAUGAUGUUAUUUAGUGAAUGAAGUAGGAAAAUCUUUCUUGUUUUUAUUGUCAGAUUACAUGGAAAAAAAUUGUUUGUUACUUGAGAGCUCAGUGUAUGGAGUGACCACAAAAUAAGUACACAGAGUUCAGCAGCAAUUCUUCUAUAGAUGCUCUGGAACAAAUGGUUCCUGUUUUACAAUGCUGGCCCACAAUACCAGAGGCAGAUGUUAGCACCAUGGCAGUAGAGACUGAACCUUCCUGACAUUAUAGCACCACAUUUUGUUGCUGUGUGAUAGAUAGCAGCAGAGGAACAGUCUGACAAAAUGGUGUCUGACAUGGAAGUGUGAAUGAAGCAAAGGUGUGGAAUUAAAUACCUCAAUGCAGAAAAAAAAAAAAAAUGGCACCUGUUGAUAUUCAUCAACAUUUGCUGAAUGCUUAUGGAGACCAAACAGUGGAUGUGAGCACAGUGAGGCCCUGGGUGGUGCAUUUCAGCAGUGGUGACAGCAACAUGUCUCUCUUCUGCUGGUGUAGAUAGUUAUGAAUGUAGCAUGCAGGCACCUGUUCACCACUGGUGAAAACAUAUAGCUAGUGGUGGUGACUAUGCUGAAAAAAAAUAUAUAUAACUUUAUAACUGAGAUUUUGCUCUAUGUAACAAUGUUAUUGUGCUCUUAGUAUCUGUUGUAGUUUCCUCGGAAAUAAAUAGGAGGCAUUACUUUUGGAGAAACCUAUGUAUCUUGAACACAUCUUGGGAGAACUCCCCUUCUGCUGGAUUGUACCUCAGAGAGAAUAAAUAAAGCAUCUCUUCUGCAUAGAUGAUCCUGAGUUACAUGUUGCAAAUUUCCCAUAAAAAUGCAGCUGAUUUUUAUUUAAUUAUCCUGGUUAUCAUCAUAACUCCUGACUUUGUUUACUGUUAUUGUGGUUCUACUUCCAACUGGAAAAAAAAUCAUAGCUGGAGUAAUAUGAGGAAAGGAAGAAACUGGGGCCUGAAUGUAUGAUGUAAAUGAUUGUCAACAAUCAGAUUCAAAGAGAUAGAUUUUAUCCCAACAUUCCUAAACAUAAUUUUCUCAAUAUAUGCAGGAGAAAAAUGUAUUCAACUUCAUCAGCAGCAGAUAGCAUGAGGGAUGGAAAUAAAAUUGGAGUCUUACAGAUAAUGAACAAAUAAUAGUUAUUGUAAAAUGUUUUGUUAUUCAAAUUCUAUCAAUUUAAUUAUUUUAAUGGUAGUCAAAUACCCAAAUACUUUCAGAAAUCUGUCCAAGAAAUACUAUGCUGUAUAAUCAGGUACAGCUGACAGGAAUGAAUUAGCAUAUUUGCUUGAAUAAAUUUCAAGUUAUUGUUGCACUGUGAAUUUCUGCAGUCGGAUGCUUUUAAUGAACCUGAGAUUUAUAAUACAAAGAGGACACAUAAAUGAAAACAAGGUUACAUGUUAGAGGAGAAAAAAAGUUAACAACACAUAAAAUGACUACAGAGCCUGAUUUAAAGUAUGACCUUUCUCUCAAGCUUCCUGUCCACCCACACACCCCACAGGCAAUGCUACAACACCAGACCAUCAGGGUGGAUAACCCAGCACAGCGGUCAGCCCGCACAAGGUGUGGGAAAAUACUAAACGUAACCCAAGAGCUGGUUAGACGCUUAGUUGUCUUAGUUUUUACUUAAAGAAAAGCUGUUUAGGUUCAUUAUUUCAAUGCAUAAAAAAAAAAGAAACAAAAGAGGUGGGGGGAAGGGGCUAGUUGUAGCACUAAAUGUUAUGACUAUAACAUAUAAUAACAUAUUAUAUAUAUAUAUAUGUUAUUAUAUAUAUAUUAUAUAUGUUUAUAUAUAUAUAUUAUAUAUAUAUAAUAACAUUCAAUAAAAGUGUCUUCAGGUUACUUCAGGAAAUAAAUAAUCUUGUUUAUAACCACAUCCAUCUAACUGAUGUUUUCCCUUCCUUCUAGUUACUCUACAAUCAUAGAGCGGCUUGAGUUGAAAGGGAUCUCAAAGAUCAUCUAGCUUCAAUUGAUCAGCCAUGGAAAGAGUUGCCAACCACUAAAUCAGUCACUAGAUCAAUCUGCCCAGGGCCUCAUCCAACUUGACCUUGAAUAUCUCUAGGCACAGGGAAGUCACUUAUCUGAGUAUAGUUUUCCAGCACCUCACCAUCCUCCCAGUGAAAAAUGAAAUCCCGACAUCUGAUCUAAGCCUCUCCCUCUUGUCCUAUCAGCCUCUACCAUGUAAACAUUUGAUUCUCCUCCUUCUUCUUCAAGACCAAUUUAGAGAGAAAAAUAAGCAUGGGAUUGGUAAGUGAUAAAGUGGACAGAUAUUUAAUAUUAUUUUUACUCUAAACAUUAUUGUAACAUAAGAGAUAUAUGCAAUAAAGGGUGAUAAAGAAGGAAAUCAGAAAGAAUCCUGAAAAUCCUCAAUGGAGUCUGAAGGUACUGCUUGAAUGAGUGGAACAUGGCCUUUCCUAGAUAACCUUUGGUCUUAGAGCUAUUUUAGCUCUUACAGCUCACCCUAUUUCCAUACUACAGAAUCUUACAAAUUACAUCAAUGGAGUACUACUUACUCACUAAAGCAAUGCCAACAGAAAAUUUAAUUUCUUCUUUAUUUUAAAGGGAGACGUCCAUCUCCAUGUUUUUAAACUCCUCAUAGUUAUUUAUACACACACCCACACACUUUUUUCUUUAUUUGCCAUGCAAAGUUUCCUGGGGCAGAAAUACAGACAUUUUGCCUGUGCACUACUUAAUUAAGAAUUCACAGUAUUGCAAAUUAAUGCAUUAAUCAACCUUCUUGUCAGUUUAUCUUAAGUAGUUUAACAUUUAUGAUGCAAGCCAUUAGUAAUAAUUCCUCACUCUUGGGAAAGGGCCAGUUUAAACCACAGCCAGUGUCUGCUAGUUUCAGAAACUAUUAAAAAGACAAAUAAAGAUCCUUUUUCAUAGGAAUUCAUAUCAUUGUUAAAAAAAUAUAUUGAAUGCAUAAAUACUAAAAUGCAGCAAAAUUUAAUAUAUCCCUGACAAUAUAUUUAAAUAUAUACCUAAUAUUGAGCUAUUCUGGAUUAGACAGGAGAGUCCAUAAAGUUAACAGCAUUGGUGUCAAGAAAGAAAAUAUGCUAAUACAAUUCAUAACAAUUACAUUUUCAGAGUGAUUCAAAUUAGAUUCAGGAAUGAUGAAAAUGGCUAUUAGAUUCAGGAGAAAAGCAAGGCUGCACACGGAAGGCCACAGUAGCCAGCUGACAGAAAUUACCUGUAUGCAUUCCAUCAUUUGGCACAAAAAAGUAGAUUCUUGGAAGAUACUGGAAGCAGUGAACGUCAAAACAGUAUUAAAAAAAAUCAAAUAAAUAAAAUUUCAUCUUAAAAUAAUUGAAGCAAUUGUUUACAAGCAUUUCUGGUUCAAAAGAUCAAAAUGUUGAAAAGGAAAGAUGGGAUAAAUCACAUUAUAUAGUGCUGUACUUCCAACACUUUACCUAUGUUUUCUGAAAACAACCAACCAACAACAACACAACACCACCACGACCACACCCAAACCUAUACUUUUUCAUCCAUUAAAUUUCCUCGGAAGUACAUGCUUUAGAACUACAAGCAGAAAAGAUAACACAUUGCAGGCCAAAAAAAAGAAAAAACACUUAAACACUUUUGGAGCCACAAGUAGAUAUAUGUACAUAAUUAUGACGAUCAUUAUUAGAUGUUUGCACUGAGAGAAAUGUUAUGAAAGAGGUACUGAACCUUUGACUUAUUCCUUAUCUGCUGGUGUGGCAGUGACCUUUAGAGAAGUUUUAAAGUCUGUGUAUAUGUGAUCAGUAGUCUUUGAUAUUUUUACAGGAGAUUUUAAGGUGGUUCAAAGAGACAGAAGGCAGCAAUACAAAGUAACCAAGGCUACAGCUAUUCCUCAGGAUUACAAUACACGGGAGGAUCAGAAUUAAGAGAGGAUUUCUCACUUAAUUAUCCAACUCCGGAUAAUUCAGAAGAGAUAACAAGAAACAGCCUAGGAUAGAGGAAACAUAGCCUUAAGUUCUGAAAUGGAGAAGCAGAUGAAAGCUGGAACUCACUCAUCAGACACAUAUGCUGUACCACCUGCUCGUUUGUGCAAAAGAGAAAUAGGAUGAGCACCAACUUCUCUGGGAAAUUAGCUUUUGUGCUUUCUUUAUAAAUAUCCAACAAGAACAGUGGAACAUGUAGUGCCAAAGCAAAUAGUUGCCAUUGCUUUCCUUUUCACUCCCCAAUUCUGCAUCUGAUUGGAAUAUCUGAAUAUGGAUUUUGAGUCUUGCAUACACCGAGUGAAUCUGCAGCCUUGUUCCCGCUCUGCACUACACCACUGCUAUUCCUGUGCUUUGCUGCCCAAUCUUGCUGACCCUUGCCUUGUAACUUUCAGACUAGGACCUACUUUGUCACUGCAGACUUGAUUGGCCACCAUGGGCUGUUGCCCAAACCUGGCUUCUGUCACUGGUCCUGUUCCCAUGGUCCAAGUACUGACAGACUGCACAGUGGCUGGUCAGGACGUUGGUUCUUUGUGCCUCGGUGGUUCUGGCAUGUGAUUUUCCUCAUAUAGAAGUAAGGGAGCAGCAAGGUUGGGCUGCUGUUUGUUGUGGCUUUUUGUUGUUGCUUGCUUUGCUUUUCCCUUAUUGGUAUUUUUUUGUUCAUAAUUACUAUUCAGCUGCUAGCAUCUCCACUCAAUCUAAAAGGUCAGUUUAUGGAGAUUGAGUUCCUAUUAUUCCCAAUUCAGCAACUUAGUUAAAAACUUAUUAGAUACUUAUUGAAGAAAGCAUUGCUCACUGGGAUGCUGAUCUGCAUUUGCUCUCUUAUUAAAGAUCAGUGUUAGGGAAGGCUGGAAGAACAUGAAGGACUUGUAAUUUAUCCACAGAAAAGCAGGACAUAGGAACAUCUACAUUUUCCAGUAGUUCUGGCAAAAUCUUCAAGGUCUGGCAGAUGUAGAAAGAGACACAAGGUGGAAGAAAAAAGUACUCUAAAUCUCAAAUGCACAUACUAUUACUCAGGCAUGAACCUGCUUCCUUACUGAAACUUUUCUGUCUUAGGGUGGAAACAAGAAUUGUCACAAUAGCUGGAUAAAAGAAUAAAAAAUGCUGAGGGAGCUGGGCUUGUUCAGCCUGGAGAAAAGAAGGCUGCAAGGUGACCUAAUUGCAGCCUUUCAGUACCUAAAGGGAGCCUACAAACAGGAGGGAAGUCAACUCUUUGAAAGGGUAGAUAACAGUAGAACAAGGGGAAAUGGUUUUAAGUUGAAGGAGAGAAGAUUUAGUUUGGAUGUGAGGGGGAAGUUCUUUACUAUGAGAGUGGUGAGGUGCUGGAACAGGCUGCUCAGAGAGGUUGUGGAUGCCCUGUCCCUGGAGGUGUUCAAGACCAGGUUUGAUGGGGCCCUGGGCAGCCUGGUCUAGUAGUUAGUGCGGAGGUUGGUGGCCCUGCCUGUGGCGGGGGGUUGGAGUUUGAUGAUCCUUGAGGUCCCUUCCAACCUGGACCAUUCAUUGAAAAAUGUCUUCACUCCCAAAGCACAAAUAUUCUGCAGAAAAAUAGUUUACAUUCACUGAGGGUGAGAUGAACUGAAUCUCACGUCUUUCUCUAAAUAUUCUCAGAUAAGGCAUAACCACAACAGAUUGAAACAUCAGUUCCUCAACAAGAGUUACCACUCCUAAUCAGCGCUGUUGAUGACUUGCAGUGGCUUCUCCUAACCUCAUUAGAACCACACAGAGACGAACCUAACCUCCUAAUAAUACUCUUUUUCUUUCCCCCUUCAGUUUUAUCUGUAAAGAAGUGCAAGGUGAGGUUUAUGAUUUUGGAACUGAGCUUCUGGAUGAAGCAGAUGUUGACCGGUUCUUGUGGCUCUUUUGCACCCACAGUUCGAGAAGGAAACAGUUCAGAAUACCUCUUUGCUGGAAAUAAUGAUCACUGAAUGUAGCCUGUCUGCACUACAGCGAUAUGAGAAAAACUUUUAAAAGCAGUUAAUGCUUUAGGGAUUAAAUGCUUGCAAGCUGACUGAAUUGUCCACAUGACAAGUUUUCAUGACAACACACAGGACAAAACAAAUGAGGCUGAUGGGGCACUUAAAACGUGCUGCUCCAGCUCAGAGUACUCAGGCUAGCUAACACAGCUUUCAAAUGCAUAAUAUAUGCCAUUUAGGCAUUAUAAGGCUUAAAUUAUAGGAGUAUUCCAAACCACAAGCAGUUUGCUCAGCUUCUUGGUUAAUGCACUUUUACAGUUCUGACAGACACUUUGGAAUACGUAUCCCAAAGCAAUGCAUAAUCGGAGAUAGGCACUAGGUGGCGUGGAAGAGCUAGUUUGCAGGAAAAUACGUUUGUGCAGUUCUUAGAUUGACCAAUAUUCUUUUGCCACAGCUCAUGUUGCAGUGAGAGUCGUUCAUAAUAAUUGAUCUGGUUCUCUAGAUUUGAUCAGAUACAAAUGUAAAAACUAAAUCAAAGUAAGUGUUUAUUGAGGUAAUCUUCUCAACUGUUUUUUUUUUCUCCCUCUUUCUGAAGUUACAAAUAUCUUCCCAUAAGAAAAAAGACUAUUUUCACUUCCCCCCCCCCCCCUUUCUUUUCAUUUUUGAAGUACUUCCUUAACCCAGCCUUGUACAUUCUGAAAUGCUGGGGUGUUCUUCCAAAGGAGUGUGUUUAAUCUUAGCCUGUAUUUCUGUGGAUUAUUUCUGUG